rnacentral:rRNA from 1 species
ACGACGAGGCACUACGGUGCUGAAGCAACAAAUGCCCUGCUUCCAGGAAAAGCCUCUAAGCAUCAGGUAACAUCAAAUCGUACCCCAAACCGACACAGGUGGUCAGGUAGAGAAUACCAAGGCGCUUGAGAGAACUCGGGUGAAGGAACUAGGCAAAAUGGUGCCGUAACUUCGGGAGAAGGCACGCUGACACGUAGGUGAAGUGAUUUACUCAUGGAGCUGAAGUCAGUCGAAGAUACCAGCUGGCUGCAACUGUUUAUUAAAAACACAGCACUGUGCAAACACGAAAGUGGACGUAUACGGUGUGACGCCUGCCCGGUGCCGGAAGGUUAAUUGAUGGGGUCAGCGCAAGCGAAGCUCCUGAUCGAAGCCCCGGUAAACGGCGGCCGUAACUAUAACGGUCCUAAGGUAGCGAAAUUCCUUGUCGGGUAAGUUCCGACCUGCACGAAUGGCGUAAUGAUGGCCAGGCUGUCUCCACCCGAGACUCAGUGAAAUUGAACUCGCUGUGAAGAUGCAGUGUACCCGCGGCAAGACGGAAAGACCCCGUGAACCUUUACUAUAGCUUGACACUGAACAUUGAGCCUUGAUGUGUAGGAUAGGUGGGAGGCUUUGAAGUGUGGACGCCAGUCUGCAUGGAGCCGACCUUGAAAUACCACCCUUUAAUGUUUGAUGUUCUAACGUGGACCCGUUACCCGGGUUGCGGACAGUGUCUGGUGGGUAGUUUGACUGGGGCGGUCUCCUCCUAAAGAGUAACGGAGGAGCACGAAGGUUGGCUAAUCCUGGUCGGACAUCAGGAGGUUAGUGCAAUGGCAUAAGCCAGCUUGACUGCGAGCGUGACGGCGCGAGCAGGUGCGAAAGCAGGUCAUAGUGAUCCGGUGGUUCUGAAUGGAAGGGCCAUCGCUCAACGGAUAAAAGGUACUCCGGGGAUAACAGGCUGAUACCGCCCAAGAGUUCAUAUCGACGGCGGUGUUUGGCACCUCGAUGUCGGCUCAUCACAUCCUGGGGCUGAAGUAGGUCCCAAGGGUAUGGCUGUUCGCCAUUUAAAGUGGUACGCGAGCUGGGUUUAGAACGUCGUGAGACAGUUCGGUCCCUAUCUGCCGUGGGCGCUGGAGAACUGAGGGGGGCUGCUCCUAGUACGAGAGGACCGGAGUGGACGCAUCACUGGUGUUCGGGUUGUCAUGCCAAUGGCACUGCCCGGUAGCUAAAUGCGGAAGAGAUAAGUGCUGAAAGCAUCUAAGCACGAAACUUGCCCCGAGAUGAGUUCUCCCUGAGACUUAAAGUCUCCUGAAGGAACGUUGAAGACGACGACGUUGAUAGGCCGGGUGUGUAAGCGCAGCGAUGCGUUGAGCUAACCGGUACUAAUGAACCGUGAGGCUUAA